CCUCCUGCCGCCUUCCGCUGCUUACAGCACUGCCGCGACCCCCGCCACUGGCGCCCGCAUCCCCCUGCCAGGAAAGUCACUUCGUGGGCUGCUGUCUGUGAACGCCACCUCGGCGAGAACACCAUUUUCCUACCCCGUCCGGGACAGAGGCUCGGCGGCUCCCACGGGCUGGGCAGCUGGAAGAGGCCGGUCGAUCCGUAACAAGGAAUCACGAAAAAAACCCUCCGUGAGACGCCAGCAUAACAAACCCAGACGGGAAAGCGCUGCCUGGCAGCGGGGAAAAAAGCAAAGGGAACCCUUUCUCUGCAAAAGAGUAAUAAAUCAGGGACAGAAGGGUGAGGGGAUGUAGAUAUCUUGUACUUGCAAACAGUGAGCAGCUGUUUGAGACUUAGCUGAGAGCUGAGAUGCAAGGACAAGGCAGCGCUUGGUGUGCUCACAGAAUAAAAGGAAAAGACCUUUGAAGUGGCUGGCAGUAGACUCAACCUUAAACCCGUCAAGUCAACAGAGCUUCCAACAUCUGGAUUUACCUGCCUGUACUAUUAAAAUACAGCGUCGAGGUUAUGGGGUAGUAUGGAAUUGAGGGGAAUUUUCACACUGAUCUUUAUUAUUGUAAGGAAACAUGGUAAAUCACAGGACACAGAACUUAUUCUCUUGUACAGUACAAAGUAAGGCUGGAGAAACGUUUAAGUUUGGGGCCCCAGCUGCUGGCAUAAUGUCAACACUCAGUAGAACAAGCACUGAUAUAUAGAGAAACGGGGAGAUUAAAAAGUAAAAGCCAAGAAAAGAAAGCCUUCAAGGUCCAAAAUGUUACUGUUAUGUUAGGCAUGGCACAAACCAAUAUUAAAUUUCUGAAUUUUAAAAAUACCUAUAUUCCAUUUGGGAGUCUGGGAAGGCUAUGUAACCUAAUGUGAAAGCAAUGCCAAUGCUGCCAGCUCCACUGACCCAUGCAUCUUUACUUCUCUGAACUUAGAAACUCAGUUUGUGCUGCUCAUUGACAGCUAAGCAGCAUUAUAUCUCUCAUGUACUCUUUUCCUCUUAUGCUGGCAUAAGCCUCUUAGCAAAAGAGUUAUGUAUUUCCAAACAAAGGACUGCAAAGUGCUUCACCUGUUUGUUUCAUUUGAAGAGUAAUUCUAUUUCAUACACACAACAGGACACUUGGAAAACAUACUGGUGCCUAGCCAUCUCAUCAUGGCCAAACUUUUUGUUGAAUAAAAAGUGGAUUGAAUAUAUGCUGAUAGUAUUGUAGUGUUCCCUCGUAUUCUGAAAGCAUGGAGAAUAUCUUACAGUAGGAUAAGGGAUAUAGCUAUCCAGUGUGUCUGUGUGAAAAGCCUGUUAACCAGACAUUGAAAAAGAAAUAAACUGCCCUUAGAAUAUUUUCAUGAAUUCACAUUCAAGUUUUACCUCUCAGAGAAAAUGUUGAUCAGAGCAUCCAUGUAUUAGAAAUAAACACAAGGCAAAAUUUAUUCUGCAUAAGCACAGAAGAAAAAGCAAAAUACCUUACACUAAGUUUUUAUUGAUUUUUGUGUAAAACACAGUCUAUGGAAAAAUAGAUAAGAGCAUUACUAACAAUAUAUAAUAGCCCUGUUCCGAGAGACAGCACAAACAGUCUGACAAACACAGCUACAAAGAGAGUAUUACAUAUGGGAGACAUAUUAUGCUCACUGUAAGACACUGCCAACAAGGCAUGAGAAACAAUAUAUAAUGACAGAGAUCAUCGUUCAAGUCAGUUAAAUGUAUCACUUGUUUUAAAGGCUGUAAUCUAAUUAAUUCAAGCAGUAUCAUAUGGUGAUACAAUAUCAGUACUGCAACAUUAUUCAUUAUAUUGAUAGAAAAUACUACAGGAUGAACAGCCAAGAAUUCAAAAUCUUGUAUAUUAGGAGAUGCACUCUCUGCAAGGAUCUAUGCAUAUGCAUUCAUUACCACUGCAUAUGUGAAAAUAUUACACUGAAAAAAAUCAAUCUAAUUUUUAUGCACCUGAUAUAUCUAUCUUUCAGAGGAAAGCUGUUUCCUAACUAUAUUAAUACCUGUGAAAUUUGUUGCCACCUGGAAACUCACUGCCUUAUAUUAAUUAGCUAUUUCCUUUAAUGCUAGUUGAGCAGCUAACGCCAUACAGACACAAACAUAGAAACACUAUUUUAUAGGAAAUUAAUGCCAAAUAAAAAUAUGAAUGUACUUUCUUAUAUUGGCACAUCACAUAAUUCACAAUGUUGGAAAAAAAAAAUUAAAAGUGGCACCAGUUCACAGUAACUAUUACAAGCUAAAGAACUUGCAAAAUGAUUAUGAAAUAAUUAACCACUAAAUAAGUCAAAAACUUUAAAUAAUUUGAGAACAUGUGCAUUUAAUUAACAGUUGCCACAGUUAAUAGAAUUGUAAGAUAAAAUUUAAGACACAUGGAACCUGUAAUAGAACUCUGUUUUAGACAAUGUUAAGAAUAUCUUAAUAUCCAUGGAAAACAAAUAAUCUGUUGCUAAAUACAUAGAGGUCUCCAUUUUAUAAUGUGUGUACAACUCUGUAUCACAUAUUAAGCACUAUUUUUUUAGCUAUACAAUAAUUAAGAGAAAUUAGGAUUAUUUCAUUACUUAUUUUCAUUAGGCAGUUAAGCAAUUUAUAUAAACCUACACAAAAAUAGUUUUAUAGCAGGCUAUUCUCAAAAUACAUAUUUAUUCUCCUAAGUAACUAAGAUGUCUAAAAGAAUGUAGUUGUUUAUAUUUAUGCAAUCUAAACUAAACAAUUAACCUCAGGUAUUUUUCCAAUGAGAAGUCCUAUGAUGAGUUCUAUAGAAAUCAAUGUGUUUGGUCACAUGAAUAAAAGAUCCCUUCUGGGACUAAAUAUAUGCUGGAUAUGAAGUUUGCUAAAUGUAUGAGCAUUGUUUACCUUCAGGCUUAACAGUGUCUUGUUAGAGUGGAUUGGUCCUUAAAGAACACUAUAAAAUAUUAGAUCACAAGUCAACAUGCUAGUCCAGUUAGAAGUAAAUACGUGGCCUAACAGGAAACCGUAUGUCAUUUUUGUAGCACAAAUAUUUCAUAAAAUGCCUUCAUAUAGUUGAUCUAAAAAUAUUGUCUAUUUAUUAAUACUUCAAUAUUUCAACCUUUCAAGUAACAUAUAAAAUUAAAACACAUUUUUAAUUUUCUACACACAGUUUGAAAAUAGGAAUGACUCAUCAUUAUUCUCUCCAGACAUCUUUGGCAGUUUAAAAUUUAAGUUUAAUCGUUGUUGAAGAAAUUUAAUAACAAAGAAACUUUUUGCAUAGGAAAGAAGACCAAUGCAUUUAUGUAUGUACUGUCAGUGGAUGCAUGACUGUACAGUAUCUGUGGACUUUGACAGUAAUUUCCAGUCAGUACAGUAUCAUAGUUCUGCAUUAUCACUAUUGCAUCAAAAUUAAUAACUCUAGGGAACAUAAAUAUUAAUUACAUAUUCUACAGAAAUGUAAAAUUACUGUAAAAUAAUAGCAGCAUAUUUAAUUUUCAAAUGUAGUCAGAUUUUCAACAGUAAUACUUUCUGCCUAAAUCUGUUCAGAUGUUUGAUAUUCUACCCUCAGUUAUACCAGCCCAUUCUAGUAAUUUUAAUUAGGUUUCAUGUGCAGGACUGGGGUAGAAAGUUAAGUGAUAUUUAUCCCAUUAAAAUUCUCCAAGAUUUGAUGUGUUCUAAGAUUUUUACAGUAAAUUUUAUUUAAAAGAAUGAAGCACAAUGCUUCAACGAUGCUGCAAUAAUGAAAUAGGAAACAGUCCAGGACAUUCAAUUCUGUAAGCUUUUUAAGACACAUAUACUUUUUGGAAUGCAAUUACGAAGUUAAGUUACAAGCUGUAAUUGUUACUUGUUUUUCAUUUUUAUGUGAAAAUCUCAUUGGUAGUAGUUUAGGCUCCUGCCUGUCUCCAGCAACAACAGUUUUUCACUUAAUGUCUAGAAUGUUUGAUAAAAAAUUAUUGUACUUGUGUAUCACCACCAGUAUCAUUGAAAUAGCUGCAUAUUGGAAGAGGAACAAUAGAAUAAAUACCCUGAAACAAACUUAUUUGGCUUUGGAAAAAGAAAGAAUGCAAACUUUUUUUUAUUUAUUCAAUAGAUUUUUUGAACCUUUUUUUCUUCUUUAUUUCUCUGUUAAAAAAUAGGAAAGUUUGAAAUUUCUAAAAUGUUUGAUAAUUUUUUGGAGAACAUAGGUAUUAAAUACAGUAAUCCAGAGGCAGCACCUGUCUCAAAUAAAUCCAAAAUUACUGAUUUCCAAGUGGAUGAGAAGUUAUGUUAAAACUGGACACCUGCUUUCUUUUGAGAAGCAUAUGCCACUUGUCAGCUACUGGAGACAAAUCUCAAAGGCCUUAGCCUGACCAAUUGUAGCUUUUAUUACAAUUAAUUUUUCUAGAAAUGGUGAAAUAAAAAGAAUUAUUUUCCUUCCAAUUGACUCCAUCACCAAGGCUUUAAAAGUAGGAUAAAUUUGAGCUCUCCAACUACUUGAAAUUGUGUAUUUGUGAACUAGAAAAAGUAUCAAAUAUCUGCUGACACACAUAACAUAGUUUUUUUCAAAAAAUGUAUUCACAAACCUCCAUUUUCAAGAAGAAUCCAUUGGCCUCUCAUUCAAUACAAAACAUGUCUAAAGACAUAAGAAUGCUCUAAUUCCGAAAAAACAUCAUGCAAGUAUUUUAUUUCUCAUCUCUAGAUUUGAACAUGCUUAAAAUUAAAGGAAGUUCAACUGUCUCUCAUUUUGUAACAAACCCAGAAUAUACACAAGCUUGAUGUGUAAGUUUGGGGAAUUUGGAUACUAGAAUAAAAAUAAAAUUGUUGUUAAUAUUUUGAAUUUGAAAUUAAAUUAAGAACAAGUAACAAAUUCUUUAGGCUUAGGUUGGCAUAACUGGGGGCAGAGUUUGAUUCUAGAAU